AUAGGUUUACUGGAUCUUCAGAUUAGCUACUGACAAGCAGCCCCAAAGAAGAAAGACACACUAAGGAGGUUCCUAAUGCUGGGUUGAUUCUAUGUACAUGAAGUUAUUGUGAAUCCAUCAUUUGCCAUGUAACUUCAUGUUUCAUUGAACCUUGGAUUUGUUUCAUAUUCCAUGUUUGCACAUUGUUCUUCUAAAUGUCUUGACUUAUACCUUUAUGCUUAGCCUCUUGUGUUGGUUGAUGGGUUUCAUGUUCCUCCUCCUAUUAGCCAGCCAAGCCAAGGGACAUUUGUUGGAUAUGCAUCUUACCAUUCAUGUUU